CUCGGGGCGGGGGUACAAAAACGGAGCCGGGAGCUCCACUGCGGAGCUGGAACCCGGGAGAGCGCGAGCCAGUUGGAGAGGUUUCCUGUCAAUCAUCCGCCAAUGUUAGGUUGACUGUUUUGGCUACGGUGGCCUGUUUGGGGAAGAAGGAAAUCGCAACUUCACUAAUGUCUGUUUGCCAAAUCGAUAAUGAGGAUUCGUGCAUAUUGAAAGAGAGAUAGGGUUAUGUUGCUUUUAAGCUUUUAUUGCUGUAUGUUACUCCAGAACGAUGCCUGUUUGACAGAUCUCCAACGCCAUCGCUCUUCAGAAAGGCAAAUCACAAAAUGCUGGAAACAUUCGGAAAACUCAGUGUGCUUCUUCAUGUUUACGAAUGAUGCAUUUUCAAACCUCUUGUUUCUAAAGGCAACUUCAUGCGACAGCUCCUCUCCUGGAUACUAAGUAUCUCUGACGCCUCAUUUCCAAAGUACACUGGUGAGGAUCAAGAUGAUCAGUAGCACCAGCAGGAGGAGCAGCACCAAAAGGUGCAAGAGCAGCAACAGCCUGCUCCUGACAGACCCGCUGCUCCACAGGAAUAAAUGGAUGAGCAAAGAGUUGCAGCACUAUGAAGGCUAUACCAGCAACAAAGGGGCUACAGGCAGAUGAUCAGUUUCCUGGGCAUGUUGGAACAUCAGUGCAUCAGGAAGAUUCGGGCCUCUCAUCAGGUGGUAUCAGACAUUCACUGCCUGCUGAAAGAAAACCUACCAAGUGGACCUGCUGGCCAUGUUUUUACUGGUGGCUGUCAACAUCAUUGCCAUUCUUAACUUCCUUGUCUCUGGAUUGUGAGGAACUAAGACCUCACACUGGUAUAUUUUUCUAAUGUAUAGUAUGUAGAUAUACUCAUUGCUAUUUCUAAAAUUUUAAACCUGAGCAAAGAUCCUUAAAAUGGCUGAAACUAUACCUGUUUGUGGCCCCCGAUCAAAAGAAGUAACCGGCAGUUUUAGGAAAACUCAUCAUUAUCUCUGAGGAGCCACUAACGACACCCCACCCCCACCCCCAUGGACUGUACGGCCCAACUGCAAAGAGACCUAUACAGGGACCAUCUGCAUUUAAUCACCCAGGCUGGCCAAAAGGAGAUGGAUUGUCUGCUAAGCCAAAGCCCCCACAACCUUCCUUUCAAUACCUAAUGUCUGAGGCAAUUAACAAUCUUCAUAACCCAGAUGAUGGAUACAUGUCCUUUGUCAAGGAGGUCAUGUGACAUGGGCCUUUGUCUUGUGGAACAAGUGAUAUUGCCUUGCUGAACUGCAUAACUCAGUCUGCUAUUCCAUCUCCGACUAGCAGGCCACACUGAAGGAGCUCUGGCCUUGGUUGAACACCUGGCCCCAUCUACCCUGCUGUUGGAAGCUCUGUACCAUCGCCUACAAGACUGAUUUAUCUCUGCAUACCUAUCUCAUCAUGUGAAGUCAACACCACCAGAAAAGUGAAUUAUACAGCUUCAAUUUUUCCAGCCUGCUGACCUCCAUGAAGGAAUACCUCGUUGGACCUCGAUUUUGGGCUCCGGAAUCCACGUAAACCAAUAUUUCUUUUCUCUGUGGUCUCUGUACUGUAAAUCAUUCUUUUCUCUAUCCCUUUCUUUACUGUCUCAGUGUGGAGAUGCCAUUGUGAUCCUCCUCCCACAUUUUGAGUGGAUGUAAAUAAGAUAACCCUUUGUGUUCAUCCUAUCUUGAGUUUACUGUGGGGCUAUUAUCAGAAAAUUGGAUCACACAAAGACUGAGGGGUUGGGGAAAUAUGCCACCACUUAUAAAGAGGGAAAUAAAUCAAAAUACCUUCCUGUUUAUGGACAAGUGGUGAGAGGAGAAAGUAGUGCUGUUUAACUUAAUCCCCUUCCUGUCCAUAACAGAAUCUUUGCAUGACUUUGCUAGAGACAUUUGCAGGACCUCCCAGUCAGCAGUUCACAAUACUUCAUGAGUUCUUUCUAUCUGUGUUUACUAAAAAAAGAGAAAGCUGACAAAAUAUUGGUAGAAGCAGAGCUAGGAGAGGUAACGGUGUGAAAUUGAAAGGCAGAUGUACUGGAAAGACUAGCUAUGCUUAGAGUGGAUAAAUCGCCUGCUUCAGAUGGCUUGCAUCCCAAGUUGCUAAAGGAUGUGGGUCUGGAGAUAGCAGAAGGGCUUUUGUAAUCUUCCAAUAGAUAAUAAUCUUCCUAGGUAUGGGGAGCCCCCACAGGAUUUGAAGGUGGCAAAUAUGACACUGUUGUUUAGGAUAGAGUGUAAGAACAUGUCUAGUAACUAUAGGCCAGCCAGUUUAACAUCAGUGGUUGGUAAGGUUUAAGACAAAUAAUCAGGAAAUAAUGAACACACACUUGGAGAGGUUUGAAUUAAUUCAGGACAUCCAGCAUGGAUUUGUAAAAGACAGAUUGUGUUUGAUUAAUCGAAUUGAAUUUUUUGGCAAUGUAUUGAAGAAUGUUGAUAAGGGGAAAGUGGUGAAUGUUGUCUAUUUAGAUUUUAAGGAAGUGUUUGACAAUGUACCACAUAAAAGGCUGGUUAACAAAAUUGAGGCUCGUGGAAUAGGAGAGUCAGUGUUAGCUUGGAUAAAAAAUCAGCUAAUGACAGAAAACAGUGAGUCAUGGUAAAUGGUUGUUUUUCAGACUGGAGGAUGGUAGACAAUGGUGUUCUCCAAGGGUUAGUGCUAGGAUCACUGUAUUUUUUUAUAUUUAUAUAUAUAAAUGACUUGGACACUGGAAUACAGAGUAAAAUCUCAAAGAGGAACAAAACUGAAGGUUCUGGAAAAUUAACAGCUACUUUAAAACAGAGAGAGAAAUUAAUUACUGGGGAACUGUACAGAAUUCAGGAUCAGAGUUGUUCACUUUUAAGUAGAAAGCAUGUAUGGAAUUGAAUCUAAUCUGCCGAAUAGAAGAAAUUAAGAAUGGUGAUCAGGAGACUUCAGAGCAGAAUUUCCAAAGUUAUUUACAGGAUUGGGAGAGCUAAAAACAGUAUAUUGUAUAACACUAAGCCCAGAAGUAAAACCAAUCUACUUUUUUACACCCAGAAAGGUUCCACACCCUUAUUUCCAAAGAUAAAGAAAGAGAUUGAGUCAAUGGUAAGACAAGAAGUCAGUUCAUCUGUAAAAGAGCCAAUGAGUUGGCACUUAGGAAUUGUACUGAUUCCAAACCCAAUUGGUCCUAUGAGAAUGAGUAUUGUUCUCACACAACUCAAUAAAGCUGUGGAAAGAGA